rnacentral:rRNA from 1 species
CCUACGGGUGGCAGCAGUGGGGAAUAUUGGACAAUGGGGGCAACCCUGAUCCAGCCAUGCCGCGUGUGUGAAGAAGGCCCUCGGGUUGUAAAGCACUUUCAGUGAGGAAGAACGCCUGGUGGUUAAUACCCAUCAGGAAAGACAUCACUCACAGAAGAAGCACCGGCUAACUCCGUGCCAGCAGCCGCGGUAAUACGGAGGGUGCGAGCGUUAAUCGGAAUUACUGGGCGUAAAGCGCGCGUAGGUGGCUUGAUAAGCCGGUUGUGAAAGCCCCGGGCUCAACCUGGGAACGGCAUCCGGAACUGUCAAGCUAGAGUGCAGGAGAGGAAGGUAGAAUUCCCGGUGUAGCGGUGAAAUGCGUAGAGAUCGGGAGGAAUACCAGUGGCGAAGGCGGCCUUCUGGACUGACACUGACACUGAGGUGCGAAAGCGUGGGUAGCAAACAGGAUUAGAUAUCCGGGUAGUC